UUGAGUGCAGAAGAGGAGAGCGGAAUUCCACGUGUAGCGGUGAAAUGCGUAGAGAUGUGGAGGAACACCAGUGGCGAAGGCGGCUCUCUGGUCUGUAACUGACGCUGAGGCGCGAAAGCGUGGGGAGCAAACAGGAUUAGAUACCCUGGUAGUCCACGCCGUAAACGAUGAGUGCUAGGUGUUAGGGGGUACCACCCUUAGUGCCGAAGGUAACCCAUUAAGCACUCCGCCUGGGGAGUACGGCCGCAAGGCUGAA
rnacentral:rRNA from 1 species